rnacentral:rRNA from 1 species
GUGCCAGCAGCCGCGGUAAUACGUAGGGCGCAAGCGUUGUCCGGAAUUAUUGGGCGUAAAGAGCUCGUAGGCGGUUUGUCGCGUUCUUGCUUGUGAAAGCCCGGGGCUCAACCCCGGGUCUGCAGUGGGUACGGGCAGACUAGAGUGCAGUAGGGGAGACUGGAAUUCCUGGUGUAGCGGUGAAAUGCGCAGAUAUCAGGAGGAACACCGAUGGCGAAGGCAGGUCUCUGGGCUGUUACUGACGCUGAGGAGCGAAAGCAUGGGGAGCGAACAGGAUUAGAUACCCUGGUAGUCC